AUUGAACGCUGGCGGCAUGCCUAACACAUGCAAGUCGAGCGGAGCGGCGGACGGGUGAGUAAUGCCUAGGAAUCUGCCUGGUAGUGAGGGAUAACGUCCGGAAACGGGAGCUAAUACCGCAUACUAUCAGAUGAGCCUAGGUGGGAUUAGCUAGUUGGUGUGGUAAGGGCCUACCAAGGCGACGAUCCGUAACUGGUCUGAGAGGAUGAUCAGUCACACUGGAACUGAGACACGGUCCAGACUCCUACGGGAGGCAGCAGUGGGGAAUAUUGGACAAUGGGCGAAAGCCUGAUCCAGCCAUGCCGCGUGUGUGAAGAAGGUCUUCGGCUUGUAAAGCACUUUAAGUGGGGAGGCGUUACCCACAGAAUAAGCACCGGCUAACUUCGUGCCAGCAGCCGCGGUAAUUC
rnacentral:rRNA from 1 species